GGGAACAUGUGCAGAACAUGCAGAUUUGUUGUGUAUAAAGUGGUUAAAAAGAGACUGACAAAGUAAGUGCUCUGUAAAAAUUUCCUGUAAAUUAAUGAGUAAUAAUAUUAAAUAUCUUUUCAAGUAUUUGUUUGCCAUGCAUAUACAUUCUUUGGUGACAUAUCCAUUCAUUCUUUGGCCAUAUGUCUUUCCAAUCUUUUGAUCAUGUUUCUGAGAAGCUUAUGACUUUGUGAUUAUUGAAUUUAUGACUUUGUGAUUAUUAUGACUUUGUUACUAUUGAGUUGUGAUUGUUGUUUAUAUAAGAGACACAAUUUCUUUGUUUUGCAAGUUUCCUCAAAGCCUAUAGUUUGCAUUUUCAGUUUUAAAGAGGUUUUGAAGAAUAAUUAUUUUUAAUUUUGAUCAAGUCAAUUUAGGAAUUUUAAAAUAUAAUUUAUUCUUUUUGUCUUGUAGUUAAGAAAUCUCAGCCAAACACAGCAUCACUAAGAUUUUACAGUUUUUAUUUUUAAAAUAUU
rnacentral:lncRNA from 1 species